rnacentral:rRNA from 1 species
CUACGGGAGGCUCCAGUGAGGAAUUUUGCGCAAUGGGGGGAACCCUGACGCAGCAACGCCGCGUGAGUGAAGAAGGCCUUUGGGUCGUAAAGCUCUGUCAACUGGGAAGAAAUUAGAGUUGUUUAACAGAUGAUUCUAUUGACGGUACCAGUGGAGGAAGCGCCGGCUAACUCCGUGCCAGCAGCCGCGGUAACACGGGGGGCGCAAGCGUUAUUCGGAAUUAUUGGGCGUAAAGGGCGCGCAGGCGGUCUUGUCGGUCAGGUGUGAAAGCCCGGGGCUCAACCCUGGAAGUGCACUUGAAACAGCAAGACUUGAGUACGGGAGAGGAGAGCGGAAUUCCUGGUGUAGAGGUGAAAUUCGUAGAUAUCAGGAGGAACACCGAUGGCGAAGGCAGCUUUCUGGACCGAUACUGACGCUGAGGCGCGAAGGCGUGGGUAGCGAACGGGAUUAGAUACCCGAGUAGUC